rnacentral:rRNA from 1 species
UACCAGCUCUCCGAGUGGUAGGGAUGAUUAUUGGGCUUAAAGCGUCCGUAGCCGGCUUAGCAAGUUUCCUGUUAAACUCAGCGACUCAAUCGUUGGAUCGCGGGAAAUACUACUAGGCUAGGAGGCGGGAGAGGUCAACGGUACUUCUGGGGUAGGGGUGAAAUCCUAUAAUCCCGGGAGGACCACCAGUGGCGAAGGCUGUUGACUAGAACGCGCUCAACGGUGAGGGACGAAAGCUGGGGGAGCGAACCGGAUUAGAUACCCGGGUAGUCCCAGCUGUAAACGAUGCGAGCUAGGUGUUGGAAUGGCUACGGGCCAUUUCAGUGCCGCAGGGAAGCCAGUAAGCUCGCCGCCUGGGGAUACGGCCGCAAGGCUGAAACUUAAGGAAUUGGCGGGGGAGCACCACAAGGCGUGAAGCUUGCGGUUC